GAUGAACGCUGGCGGCGUGCCUAACACAUGCAAGUCGAACGAAGCUCUCUUGUUGAUUUUUUCGGAAUGAUUCAAGAGAUGACUUAGUGGCGGACGGGUGAGUAACGCGUGGAUAACCUGCCCUUUGCAGGGGGAUAACAGUUAGAAAUGACUGCUAAUACCGCAUAAGCGCACACUACCGCAUGGUAGAGUGUGAAAAGCCGAGACGGCAAAGGAUGGGUCCGCGUCUGAUUAGCUAGUUGGUGAGGUAACGGCCCACCAAGGCGACGAUCAGUAGCCGGCCUGAGAGGGCGACCGGCCACAUUGGGACUGAGACACGGCCCAGACUCC
rnacentral:rRNA from 1 species